rnacentral:rRNA from 1 species
GGGUUGUGAGGUUAAGCGACUAAGCGUACACGGUGGAUGCCUAGGCAGUCAGAGGCGAUGAAGGGCGUGCUAAUCUGCGAAAAGCGUCGGUAAGGUGAUAUGAACCGUUAUAACCGACGAUACCCGAAUGGGGAAACCCAGUGCAAUUCGUUGCACUAUUGCAUGGUGAAUACAUAGCCAUGCAAGGCGAACCGGGGGAACUGAAACAUCUAAGUACCCCGAGGAAAAGAAAUCAACCGAGAUUCCCCCAGUAGCGGCGAGCGAACGGGGAGGAGCCCAGAACCUGAAUCAGCGUAUGUGUUAGUGGAAGCGUCUGGAAAGUCGCACGGUACAGGGUGAUAGUCCCGUACACAAAAAUGCAUAUGUUGUGAGUUCGAUGAGUAGGGCGGGACACGUGACAUCCUGUCUGAAUAUGGGGGGACCAUCCUCCAAGGCUAAAUACUCCUGACUGACCGAUAGUGAACCAGUACCGUGAGGGAAAGGCGAAAAGAACCCCGGCGAGGGGAGUGAAAUAGAACCUGAAACCGUGUACGUACAAGCAGUGGGAGCACCUUCGUGGUGUGACUGCGUACCUUUUGUAUAAUGGGUCAGCGACUUAUAUUUUGUAGCAAGGUUAACCGAAUAGGGGAGCCGUAGGGAAACCGAGUCUUAACUGGGCGAAUAGUUGCAAGGUAUAGACCCGAAACCCGGUGAUCUAGCCAUGGGCAGGUUGAAGGUUGGGUAACACUAACUGGAGGACCGAACCGACUAAUGUUGAAAAAUUAGCGGAUGACUUGUGGCUGGGGGUGAAAGGCCAAUCAAACCGGGAGAUAGCUGGUUCUCCCCGAAAGCUAUUUAGGUAGCGCCUCGUGAACUCAUCUUCGGGGGUAGAGCACUGUUUCGGCUAGGGGGUCAUCCCGACUUACCAAACCGAUGCAAACUCCGAAUACCGAAGAAUGUUAUCACGGGAGACACACGGCGGGUGCUAACGUCCGUCGUGAAGAGGGAAACAACCCAGACCGCCAGCUAAGGUCCCAAAGUCAUGGUUAAGUGGGAAACGAUGUGGGAAGGCAUAGACAGCCAGGAUGUUGGCUUAGAAGCAGCCAUCAUUUAAAGAAAGCGUAAUAGCUCACUGGUCGAGUCGGCCUGCGCGGAAGAUGUAACGGGGCUAAACCAUGCACCGAAGCUGCGGCAGCGACGCUUAGGCGUUGUUGGGUAGGGGAGCGUUCUGUAAGCCGUUGAAGGUGACCUGUGAGGGUUGCUGGAGGUAUCAGAAGUGCGAAUGCUGACAUAAGUAACGAUAAUGCGGGUGAAAAACCCGCACGCCGGAAGACCAAGGGUUCCUGUCCAACGUUAAUCGGGGCAGGGUGAGUCGACCCCUAAGGCGAGGCUGAAAAGCGUAGUCGAUGGGAAACAGGUUAAUAUUCCUGUACUUGGUGUUACUGCGAAGGGGGGACGGAGAAGGCUAGGCUAGCCGGGCGACGGUUGUCCCGGUUUAAGCAUGUAGGCGGAGUGACUUGGUAAAUCCGGUUGCUUAUCAACGCUGAGGUGUGAUGACGAGCCACUACGGUGGUGAAGUAGUUGAUGCCAAGCUUCCAGGAAAAGCCUCUAAGCAUCAGGUAACAUUAAAUCGUACCCCAAACCGACACAGGUGGUCAGGUAGAGAAUACUCAGGCGCUUGAGAGAACUCGGGUGAAGGAACUAGGCAAAAUGGUGCCGUAACUUCGGGAGAAGGCACGCUGGCAUUAGGUAAAGGGACUUGCUCCCGGCGCCGAAGCCAGUCGCAGAUACCAGCUGGCUGCAACUGUUUAAUAAAAACACAGCACUGUGCAAACACGAAAGUGGACGUAUACGGUGUGACGCCUGCCCGGUGCUGGAAGGUUAAUUGAUGGGGUCAGCCGCAAGGCGAAGCUCUUGAUCGAAGCCCCAGUAAACGGCGGCCGUAACUAUAACGGUCCUAAGGUAGCGAAAUUCCUUGUCGGGUAAGUUCCGACCUGCACGAAUGGCGUAAUGAUGGCCAGGCUGUCUCCACCCGAGACUCAGUGAAAUUGAACUCGCUGUGAAGAUGCAGUGUACCCGCGGCAAGACGGAAAGACCCCGUGAACCUUUACUAUAGCUUGACACUGAACAUUGAGCCUUGAUGUGUAGGAUAGGUGGGAGGCAUUGAAGUGUGGACGCCAGUCUGCAUGGAGCCAACCUUGAAAUACCACCCUUUAAUGUUUGAUGUUCUAACUCGGCCCCAUAAUCUGGGGUGAGGACAGUGUCUGGUGGGUAGUUUGACUGGGGCGGUCUCCUCCCAAAGAGUAACGGAGGAGCACGAAGGUUAGCUAAUCACGGUCGGACAUCGUGAGGUUAGUGCAAAGGCAUAAGCUAGCUUGACUGCGAGAGUGACGGCUCGAGCAGGUACGAAAGUAGGUCUUAGUGAUCCGGUGGUUCUGAAUGGAAGGGCCAUCGCUCAACGGAUAAAAGGUACUCCGGGGAUAACAGGCUGAUACCGCCCAAGAGUUCAUAUCGACGGCGGUGUUUGGCACCUCGAUGUCGGCUCAUCACAUCCUGGGGCUGAAGUAGGUCCCAAGGGUAUGGCUGUUCGCCAUUUAAAGUGGUACGCGAGCUGGGUUUAGAACGUCGUGAGACAGUUCGGUCCCUAUCUGCCGUGGGCGUUGGAAGAUUGAGAGGGGCUGCUCCUAGUACGAGAGGACCGGAGUGGACGAAUCACUGGUGUUCGGGUUGUCAUGCCAAUGGCAUUGCCCGGUAGCUAAAUUCGGAAGAGAUAACCGCUGAAAGCAUCUAAGCGGGAAACUUGCCUCGAGAUGAGUCUUCCCUGGGGCUUUAAGCCCCCUGAAGGAACGUUAAAGACUAUGACGUUGAUAGGCUGGGUGUGUAAGUGCAGCGAUGCAUUGAGCUAACCAGUACUAAUGAUCCGUGAGGCUUAACCUUACAACACCGAAGGUGUUU